rnacentral:misc_RNA from 1 species
UACGGAGGGGGCAGGCGUUGUUCGGAAUUACUGGGCGUAAAGGGCGCGUAGGCGGUUUAUCAAGUCAGAUGUGAAAGCCCCGGGCUCAACCCGGGAACUUCAUUUGAUACUGGUUGACUAGAGGCCGGGAGAGGGUAGUGGAAUUCCCAGUGUAGAGGUGAAAUUCGUAGAUAUUGGGAAGAACACCGGUGGCGAAGGCGGCUACCUGGACCGGACCUGACGCUGAGGUGCGAAAGCGUGGGGAGCAAACAGG